rnacentral:rRNA from 1 species
CCUACGGGGUGCAGCAGGCGCGAAAACUUUACAAUGCGGGAAACCGUGAUAAGGGAACUCCGAGUGUCCGUAAAUGCGGACUGUCCGUCUGUUUAAAAAGCAGGCGAAGAAAGGGCCGGGCAAGACCGGUGCCAGCCGCCGCGGUAAUACCGGCGGCUCGAGUGGUGGCCACUAUUACUGGGCUUAAAGCGUUCGUAGCUGGGUCGUUAAGUCUCUUGGGAAAUCUACCGGCUUAACCGAUAGGCGUCCAAGGGAUACUGGCGAUCUAGGGACCGGGAGAGGUGAGGGGUACUUCAGGGGUAGGAGUGAAAUCCUGUAAUCCUUGGGGGACCACCUGUGGCGAAGGCGCCUCACCAGAACGGCUCCGACAGUGAGGGACGAAAGCUGGGGGAGCAAACCGGAUUAGAUACCCAAGUAGUCC